rnacentral:rRNA from 1 species
AGUUUGAUCCUGGCUCAGAACGAACGCUGGCGGCAGGCUUAACACAUGCAAGUCGAACGCAUCCUUCGGGGUGAGUGGCAGACGGGUGAGUAACGCGUGGGAAUCUACCCAUCUCUACGGGAUAGCUCCGGGAAACUGGAGAUAAUACCGUAUACGUCCUCCGGGAGAAAGAUUUAUCGGGGAUGGAUGAGCCCGCGUUGGAUUAGCUAGUUGGUGGGGUAAUGGCCUACCAAGGCGACGAUCCAUAGCUGGUCUAAGAGGAUGAUCAGCCACAUUGGGACUGAGACACGGCCCAAACUCCUACGGGAGGCAGCAGUGGGGAAUAUUGGACAAUGGGCGCAAGCCUGAUCCAGCCAUGCCGCGUGAGUGAUGAAGGCCCUAGGGUUGUAAAGCUCUUUCAGUGGGGACGAUAAUGACGGUACCCACAGAAGAAGCCCCGGCUAACUUCGUGCCAGCAGCCGCGGUAAUACGAAGGGGGCUAGCGUUGUUCGGAAUUACUGGGCGUAAAGCGCACGUAGGCGGACAUUUAAGUCAGGGGUGAAAUCCCGGGGCUCAACCCCGGAACUGCCUCUGAUACUGGGUGUCUUGAGUGUGGUAGAGGUGAGUGGAAUUNCGAGUGUAGAGGUGAAAUUCGUAGAUAUUCGCAGGAACACCAGUGGCGAAGCGGCUCACUGGACCACAACUGACGCUGAGG